UACAUUUGAGGGCAUUUAAAUAUUGUAACAUGUAGGUGCUGGACUGAAUGACCCAGCAGAAGAUGUAACAGUUCCAAAAAUAUUUAUGAAUAAAGUCAGUAAUGCGCCACCGUGCAGAGUAGAGAGUAGUGUGUUCUUCAGUGGAGUGUGUGCAUCGUGGAAGCCAGGAGGAGCUUGGCAGAAUCAUCCACAGAAGCUUGGCGAUGAGAGAGAUGUCCAGCGGACAAUGCGAGCAACAGCAGAAGUGAAGAUCUCCGGCACGCAGGCAUAGAGUGAAAUUCCUUUGAGGAUUGCCUGGCUGAACUCAGCGAAGACUGGAUGGCAAACCACAACACAAACUUCGCAAACAAAUCAACAGAGUGACAAGACAGGACCGGCCAGACAAGGAGAGCGAGGUUUCCCAAAUGUUAUCGGUGCACUGGACUGCACCCAUGUGCGUAUUAAGUGUCCGUCUGGUCCACAUGAAGCAGACUUUGUGAAUAGGAAAUCAGUACACAGCAUCAAUGUACAGAUGAUUAGUGAUGCAGAUUGCAUCAUCACAAAUGUAGAGGCCAAAUGGCCAGGCUCUGUGCAUGACUCCAGAAUCUUUAGAGCCUCAUCUCUCUACCAGCAACUAGCAAGAGG